rnacentral:rRNA from 1 species
UACGGAGGAUGCAAGCGUUAUCCGGAAUCACUGGGCGUAAAGCGUCUGUAGGCGGUUUAAUAAGUCUAUUGUUAAAAAUUGAAGCUUAACUUCAAAGAUGCAAUGGAAACUUUUAAACUUGAGUAUGGUAGGGGUAGAGGGAAUUUCCAGUGGAGCGGUGAAAUGCGUAGAUAUUGGAAAGACCACCAAUGGCGAAGGCACUCUACUGGGCCAUUACUGACACUGAGAGACGAAAGCUAGGGGAGCAAAUGGG